rnacentral:rRNA from 1 species
AGGACGAACGCUGGCGGCGUGCUUAACACAUGCAAGUCGAACGAGGUCCAUCUGGUGGCAACACCGGAGAAGACCUAGUGGCGAACGGGUGAGUAACACGUGAGCAACCUGCCCCGAAGACCGGGAUAACAGCGGGAAACCGCUGCUAAUACCGGAUAUCCCCGCCGGGUCACAUGGCCCGAUGAGGAAAUGGAUUCCGCUUCGGGAGGGGCUCGCGGCCUAUCAGCUUGUUGGUGGGGUAACGGCCUACCAAGGCGACGACGGGUAGCUGGUCUGAGAGGACGAUCAGCCACACUGGGACUGAGACACGGCCCAGACUCCUACGGGAGGCAGCAGUGGGGAAUCUUGCGCAAUGGGCGAAAGCCUGACGCAGCAACGCCGCGUGAGGGAUGAAGGCCUUCGGGUUGUAAACCUCUUUCGAGCAGGGACGAUAAUGACGGUACCUGCAGAAGAAGCGCCGGCUAACUACGCGCCAGCAGCCGCGGU